AGGUUGCAGCAAAAACAAGAUGCACAUGUUCAUUUUUUGUAUGCUUUUCAGUACAUCUACUUCCUGACGGUCUGAAUAUGUUGCCCCCACCAUGCCGAUUUACUGCUGCGACCUCGUUGAUUCCCAGCCUUUGAACUGCUCCCUCAAUCCCCUCCGUGGACCACUGCCGACGGUGGGCUGCACCUUCCACGGGAAGCCACGUGAUCGUGUAGACGCAUGUCUUCAUUGAGUCACUCACUGCGCAUAUGUGUGUGUGUUGUGUUUGUGUGUGCGUGGCCGCGACCAUGCUUCGCAUUUCGGUGUUGUGUAUGUGUGGUCGUGUGGUCGUCUCACCUCAAACACAUCCUAGGCUGGUGCAUGAGUUGCUGAGGAAACGCCCAAGGUUGUGGCCUCUCGACCACAACUUCGUCUCAUGGAAGUUGUUGGAUGUGGACAGCCAGAACAAGUUCAAUUCCACAUGGCUCAUCGAGGAGAAAAAGAAGAGGAACUUGAGUGGUUUCUCUGUGGAGAAGGGUAGAAGAAAUUGUGCUCUGAACAUGCUUGUUGAUACGCCCAUGAGAACGGGUGCAUUUUUCUAUAGAUUUUUGUGUUGCUGACAAAGCUACACAAGUUGUAUUUUUACAAGUUGAACUUAACAAUAUCAUCUAGAAAGUUCGUGCAUGUGUGGAUGUUCUUUUGACAUUGAACUGUUAAGUGCUUGCAAAAUCUACAGUGUUGAUCCA